CUCCUCUCACAAAUGGAAGAAGAGCCCAUGAUUUCAUGGAGAGAACCUCAGACCGAUCUGAGCGUUGAAAAACUUUUGUCUGAGAAGGGCCUAUCUGCUCUGUGGGAUGUUCUCUGUAACACGCCUUUUAAAGGGCAAGGCUUUGAGGUGGAAAACCUGCAUACUCUCCUGGGAGAAAUGGAAGACUGGGCCUGUCAGCUGUAC